rnacentral:rRNA from 1 species
UACCUCAGUAACGGCGAGUGAAGCGGUAACAGCUCAAAUUUGAAAUCUGGCUCUUUCAGGGUCCGAGUUGUAAUUUGUAGAAGAUGCUUCGGGUGUGGCCCCGGUCUAAGUUCCUUGGAACAGGACGUCAUAGAGGGUGAGAAUCCCGUAUGUGACUGGGUGCCUUCGCUCAUGUGAAGCUCUUUCGACGAGUCGAGUUGUUUGGGAAUGCAGCUCAAAAUGGGUGGUAAAUUUCAUCUAAAGCUAAAUAUUGGCCAGAGACCGAUAGCGCACAAGUAGAGUGAUCGAAAGAUGAAAAGCACUUUGGAAAGAGAGUUAAACAGUACGUGAAAUUGUUGAAAGGGAAGCGCUUGCAACCAGACUUGCACGUUGUCGAUCAUCCAGGGCUCGCCCUGGUGCACUCGAUUUCGUUCAGGCCAGCAUCGGUUUCGGUGGUGGGAUAAAGGCCUUGGGAAUGUAGCUUCUUUCGGGGAGUGUUAUAGCCCUCGGUGCAAUGCCGCCUACCGGGACCGAGGACCGCGCUUCGGCUAGGAUGCUGGCGUAAUGGUUGUAAGCGACCCGUCUUGAAACACGGACCAAGGAGUCUAACAUCUAUGCGAGUGUUUGGGUGUCAAACCCAUACGCGUAAUGAAAGUGAACGGAGGUGAGAACCCUUAAGGGUGCAUCAUCGACCGAUCCUGAUGUCUUCGGAUGGAUUUGAGUAAGAGCAUAGCUGUUGGGACCCGAAAGAUGGUGAACUAUGCGUGAAUAGGGUGAAGCCAGAGGAAACUCUGGUGGAGGCUCGCAGCGGUUCUGACGUGCAAAUCGAUCGUCAAAUUUGCGUAUAGGGGCGAAAGACUAAUCGAACCAUUAAACUACUACUAGGUGGUUAAGAGGGCCGCGGAGACGCGCGCCCUAGUUCCUCUGGUGAGGGCGACAUUGUCAAAUUGUUCGGGGGACGUCCCUGUCAACUCCCAAGCUACCGCAGCUGCGCCGAAAGGGCCAGCGCCGCACCAGGUUAACGACCUCGGGGAUGGUAAGAACGCUUGGGGAGGGAUAAUCCGCAGCCAGGCCCUACGGGCGAGCCCAGCUCGCCUACGGGUACGGUCCACAGACUUAACGACGAUGGGCUCGGGAGCGCAUCCCGGGCUUAAGAUAAAGUCGAACCCCCGGGAGACCGGGUGGCGAGAGGAACGCCGCAGGGGCACCACCCCCCCACGGGGGGGCCCAGCGGCCGGAGCUCGUCGGGCGCAAG